CCCUUAGAUGUUCUGGGCCGCACGCGUGCUACACUGAUGCAUUCAACGAGUCUAAAACCUGGUCUGAUAGGGCUGGGUAAUCUUUUGAAAGUGCAUCGUGAUUGGGAUAGAUGAUUGCAAUUCUUCAUCUUCAACGAGGAAUGCCUAGUAAACGCAAGUCAUCAGCUUGCAUUGAUUACGUCCCUGCCCUUUGUACACACCGCCCGUCGCUCCUACCGAUUGAAUGAUCCGAUGAAUACCAUGGAUUGAGAGUACGAAUAGGUUCGCUUAUUUCUGCGUCUCGAGAAGUGGAGUAAAUCUUAUCAUUUAGAGGAAGGAGAAGUCGUAACA
rnacentral:rRNA from 1 species